UACAGAGGGUGCGAGCGUUGUCCGGAAUCACUGGGCGUAAAGGGCGCGUAGGUGGUGGCUUAAGCGUGCGGUGAAAGCUCGGGCUCAACCCCGAGUCGGCCGUGCGAACUGGGCUCACUGGAGCAUAGUAGAGGCAGGUGGAAUUCCGGGUGUAGCGGUGGAAUGCGUAGAGAGUCCGGAAGAACGACCGGUGGCGAAGGCGGCCUGCUGGGCUAUGGGCUGACACUGAGG
rnacentral:rRNA from 1 species